GAAUAGCUCUCUGUUGCAGAGAGGGGUCCUGGAGAAAUGGGUUACCCCAGUUGUCUUAUUUAAAUGGUUACCCAUCAGAUUUUAAUUUUAUCUUCUCUUUGAGAGCUUGGUAAUAAGAAGCACUUAAAUCACUCCAAAGAAGACUUUAAAAAGGGAGCAGUGAAAAGGUCUUAAUAAUUUAUUGAUUGAAUUAAGAAAUACUAGCUAAUUAAGAAUCUGAGUCUAAACAGCACAGAUUUUUUCUUUCUGCUUUUAAAUUGUGUUUUAAAAAAAGAGACAGGGGGCUGGGCGUGGUGGCUCACGCCUGUAAUCCUAGCACUUUGGGAGGCCGAGGCGGGUGGAUCACGAGGUAGGAGUUAAAGACCAGCCUGGCCAACAUGGCAAAACCCUACUAAAGAUACAAAAAAAAAAAAAAAUUAGCCAGGCAAGAGUGCAAUGGUGCAAUCUCAGCUCACUGCAACCUCUGCCUCCCGGGUUCAAGCGAUUCUCCUGCCUCAGCCUCCUGAGUAGCUGGGAUUACAGGCAUGCGCCACCACGCCUGGCUAAUUUUGUAUUUUUAGUAGAGAUGGGGGUUUCUCCAUGUUGGUCAGGCUGGUCUCGAACUCCUGACCUCAGGUGAUCCACCUGCAUUGGCCUCCCAAAGUGCUGGGAUUAUAGGUGUGAGCCACUGUGCCCGGCC
rnacentral:lncRNA from 10 species